rfam:Streptomyces malaysiense strain MTSC 136 7, whole genome shotgun sequence.
GCGAGACAGUGGCCCAUCGGCCGAGCGCGACCGAUAAACUGUCGAAGGUCGACCGGGCGCAGCCCCGCGUCGACUGCAAAUGAUCAGCCAGCAGCCGCUGCAACCACAGGGAG